AAGACCUUUAAAACAGUCCCGUGAGGCUGAGAAGGGUACGGAUAAAAGAGACAGUUAUGUCCCUAGUCGGGUAAACGUCUAUCUAAAUCCCCUUCUACCACGGUAGAAGGGGAUUUUUUCG
rfam:Pontibacillus chungwhensis BH030062 contig3, whole genome shotgun sequence.